rnacentral:rRNA from 1 species
CCUACGGGCGGCAGCAGUGAGGAAUAUUGGUCAAUGGUCGGGAGACUGAACCAGCCAAGCCGCGUGAGGGAUGAAGGUACAGAGUAUCGUAAACCUCUUUUGUCAGGGAACAAAGGCGGGGACGCGUCCCCGGAUGAGUGUACCUGAAGAAAAAGCAUCGGCUAACGCCGUGCAAGCAGCCGCGGUAAUCCGGAGGAGGCGAGCGUUAUCCGGAUUGAUUGGGUUUAAAGGGGGCGGAGGCGGUCUAUUAAUUCAGCGGUCAAAGCCCGGGGACCCACCCCGGCCCGCCGUUGAAACUGGCAGUCUCGAGUUGGAGAGAAGUAUGCGGAAUGCGCGGUGUAGCGGUGAAAUGCAUAGAUAUCGCGCAGAACUCCGAUUGCGAAGGCAGCAUGCCGGCUCCACACUGACGCUGAGGCACGAAAGCGUGGGUAUCGAACAGGAUUAGAUACCCGGGUAGUC